rnacentral:tRNA from 1 species
UGGCCCGUGGUACAGCGGGUAGCCCGUCGCACUUUGGAUGCGAAGGUCGCAGCUCCGAGCCCUGCCGGGCCAG